rnacentral:rRNA from 1 species
AUUGAACGCUGGCGGCAGGCCUAACACAUGCAAGUCGAACGAGGGGCGGACGGGUGAGAAAUGUCUGGGAAACUGCCUGAUGGAGGGGGAUAACUACUGGAAACGGUAGCUAAUACCGCAUACCAUCGGAUGUGCCCAGAUGGGAUUAGCUAGUAGGUGGGGUAAAGGCGCACAGAGGGGACGAUCCCUAGCUGGGCUGCGAGGAUGAGCAGCCAACCUGGAACUGAGACACGGUCCAGCGGCCUACGGGAGGCAGCAGUGGUGAAGUGUGCACAAUUGGCGCAAGCCUGAUGCAGCCAUGCCGCGUGUAUGAAGAAGGCCUUCGGGUUGUAAAGUACUUUCAGCGGGGAGGCGUUACCCGCAGAAGAAGCGCCGGCUAACUCCGUGCCAGCAGCCGCGGUAAUAC